rnacentral:lncRNA from 1 species
UUUUACCUCAUUCCUCUUCUUCUGCGUCAUCGCUUCUCCUUUGAUUGAAAAGACUCAGUCUUUAUCGAUGAAAAUACCGUAAAUGAAAUGCUUGCUAGGGUUUGUCUCUCUCUACAUUUUCGGAGCUUGGGGUCGUUCGGGGGUAUUUAGGAAUAUUUUGGCAAAAGUCACGUGUUAACCCUACUUUAGCUCUGACACGUUUGCUUUACACCGCUCAAACGAACAUCUCAUUUCCACCCGAUUUGCAGUCUCUAUGCUCUGUUUCUUCCUCAAAUUUCCAAUGCUGCUCACCUCCUCUUCCAAUUUCCCUCAUCUCUUUUAGUCUUCUCUCUUCCUGGACAGUUUAUUCGCCUUGAUUGUACAGUUAUAAGGUGAGUUUUAGUUUAUUUUCUUCUUGAUUUUCGGAAUAGCUGCUGCGUAUAAAUUGUUUAAACUGAUUAAAUUAUUCGUCCAUCAUUCUUUGUAAUUCGUCCAAAAAAAAACUGGAAUAUUUGGAGUUGUUUCCCAUUGUAGUUGGGGGUGAAUUCAAUCCCCGCAGGGCGUUCUAAGCUCUCUAAAGGUACUCUUUUUUUCCCCUCAAAAUUUGAUUUAUGAAAAAUCCUAAUAGUUUGUUAUAUUUGAAAUAAGAAAUAAGAGAAAUAUUCAAAUGUGUUUGUUUGGCUAAAAAAGUUAUCAAUAUACUUUAUAAGCUUAAAAACAAUCAAAAGAGGAUAAGGGUAAAUCGUAAUCAAAUAUAAUAUGCCCUAGAGAUGACAAUAGUAGUGUUGUAAAAGUAGAUCUGAUAAAUGCUAGAUUCAGAGAGAGAGAGAGUUUAGAGAUAGAGAGAAGUUGAGAAUUGUAUCAUCAAUAAUAACACUCGGCCCUAUUACAAGGUGAAGGUCUCCUUUAUAUAGUAGGAGACCUUCAUCGAAACAAUCAAAAUAAAAAGUACAGAAGUGGUUGGCUUCUUUGUACGGAAGAAGCCAGACCCUAAACGACGUCGCUUUCUGUUCUAUCAGUUAGGCCGUGCCCUCCCUUGGGCCGGCCUCAUUAUAAUGGACGUGCUCACAUGGCAUGGGGACGUUGAGAGCCAAAUUUUGCCUUAUACAGUGUUGUUGCUGUUUGCAGGGUUUGUACUUGGUGCCUAUGCGUGUAUUGUAUCCGCUAUCGCGUUUCUGUAAGCAAAUGCAAACUACUACUACCUAUGAAAUGGUGAAAGGAUUAGUAUCACAACUAGGACCAACAAGAAAACAAAAGUAUAUCUUUUCCUUUAAUCUCACUUUUGGAAUUCUGUUAUUAGCAGACUCAUUUUUUAGAGUUGGGUAUUUAUUACUCUCUUUGUCUCAAUAUAUUUGAUGUUGUUUAAUUGAGCACAAAACUCAAGAAAGAAAGAAAGAAUUUUGAAAUUUUAUGUUCUAACACAAACUAUAGAUAUUUGUGUAACUAUAAAUCAUCUUAUAUGGGAAAAUUUCAUUCUUUUUGGCAUAGACUGAAAGGAAAUACUAUCAUAUAAAUUGGGACGGAGACACUAUGAAUAUGGACUUUGCUAGGAUGCACUGUUUCUUUUAUGUUUACAUGGAAAUUGGAAAGGAUUUGUCAUUUUCUUGUAGGAAAAGUUGACGCCCGAGUAGAAAAGAUAGGUGCAUUGCAAAAAUUAUCGAUGGUAAUGCCAUCCAUAGAUAUUCUACAUUCCGCCCUGAGGAAAGCAAAGAGGGUUUCCCUUACAAAGGGUAAUCUUUUCCUUUGUGUCUAUAUAGUAUAUAGUUCACCACUUUCUUAUAGUUUCAAUUUUUUUGUUGGAUUCAAGCAUGGAUGAAAUAAAUUAUGACAUUUAGUUAAAUGUUUAAUAGACAUUGUUAAUCUUGCAAAAUGCGAGAUACGGAAACUAUGAAGAGGUAAAUUUUAAUCAGUCUACAUAUAGAUUCACCUAUUACGUGCUCUGCCUCUACAAUUACUAAGUAAGCUUUGUCCAUCUUUUUUUGCUUCUCUUUAUCCCAGCUUAUCUGCACAUGCUUGUGUUUGGUAUUCUCGAUUUUGUUUUUCACAGUAUCGCAAAUGCUGCUGGAUUCAAAUGUAGUUGCAUGCGGCUUUUGGAUGCAAAUUUAGUUACUACUGGAUUUCGAAUUGGAUAUGAAGUAUUGAACCCG